CUGCGGCGGAUGUUGCGUAAAGGGAAAGGUCGUAGUCAAACCCCACAGCCACGCGAACUCUAAGUCAGCCACGAAUAGGCUAUCCCAACUAACGGCGGGAAAGACUCCACGGAGGGUGUAAGACCCGUGUGGGCGCGUGUUAAAGCUGUGCGGGCUCGGCCUCUAUUCCCUGAGAGUCGCGUUGCUUGAGCAUGCAGCGCUAAGCAGGUCGUAAACUCGAUCUAAGGCUAAAUAUCUCCACAGAACCGAUAGCGAACAAGUACCGUGAGGGAAAGUUGAAAAGCACUCUGGAGAGAGAGUCAAAAGACCGUGAAACCGCUCAGAGUAUAAGCCCAUGGCAGCUUGGAAGGCAUAUCGAAAGCGGGGCAUCGGUCUGCCUUCGCGGGUGGUCGGUGUUACCUUGCUUCUGUUGUGGCUCGUCAAGGUAGGGGGGUCAGGUCCACAUCCCGCCGUCGUGUGGGGGGUUCUUGGGUGUGUUGUGGUUUUUCGGUUGGCUUCGGCUGGCCGGAGGGCCCUUCGUGCUCGGUUCCUCUUUUGACACGGACGUUCAGACUCAGAGGCAAGACGCGAUAAACAGCCCACCACGGCACGUUGUGAGGUCACCCACAGGCUCGACUUUCGAUCGUGAACCAUGACGCCGAGCAAGCACAAUGCGUGUCGCAAAUGUUCCUAACCAGGCAACGCUGCCAGGACCGUGGAACGACACGCGCUCAACAGUCAGGUUCGGGCGGAGACAGAGUUCUGGUAUGAUCCUCUUGCGACGAGCCGGCUUCUGGCCAACAUCCGAUGCUCAGGUCUCCCGCAUGUGCCGCGGGAGAUCGCCUUGACGGUCUGGAUCUUUCACGAGUCCUCUCAGUCGGGCAACGGA
rnacentral:rRNA from 1 species